AUUGAACGCUGGCGGCAGGCCUAACACAUGCAAGUCGAGCGAGCGGCGGACGGGUGAGUAAUGUCUGGGAAACUGCCUGAUGGAGGGGGAUAACUACUGGAAACGGUAGCAAAUACCGCAUACAAUCAGAUGCGCGCAGUUGGGAUUAGCUAGUAGGUAGGGUAACGGGUCACCUAGGCGACGAUCCCUAGCUGGUCUGAGAGGAUGACCAGCAACACUGGAACUGGUACACGGCCCAGACUCCUACGGAAGACAUCAGUGGUGGAUAUUGCACAAUGGGCUCAAGCCUGAUGCAGCCAUGCCGAGUGUGUGAAGAGUGCCUUCGGGUUGUAAAGCACUUACAGCAAGGAGACGUUACCCGCAAAAGAGGCACCGCCUAACUCCGUGCCAGCAGCCGCGGUAAAAC
rnacentral:rRNA from 1 species